GACGUUACCUACAGAAGAAGCACCGGCUAACUCCGUGCCAGCAGCCGCGGUAAUACGGAGGGUGCGAGCGUUAAUCGGAAUUACUGGGCGUAAAGACGCAUGCAGGCGGCCUGUUAAGUCAGAUGUGAAAGACCCGGGGCGUUAACCUACGGAAUUGCAUUUGUAAACUAGGCGAGGCUAGAGUCUUGUAGAGGGGGGUAGGAAUUUCAGGUGUAGCGGUGAAAUGCGUAGAGAUCUGAAGGAAUACCAGUGGCGAAGGCGGCCCCCUGGACAAAGACUGACGCUCAGAUGCGAAAGCGUGGGGAGCAAACAGGAUUAGAUACCCUGGUAG
rnacentral:rRNA from 1 species